rnacentral:rRNA from 1 species
CGUAAACAAAGGGAAGCGGAGCCGCGAGGCCGGGCAAAUCCCAAAAAUAACGUCCCAGUUCGGAUUGCAGCCUGCAACUCGGCUGCAUGAAGCUGGAAUCGCUAGUAAUCGCGAAUCAGAAUGUCGCGGUGAAUACGUUCCCGGGUCUUGUACACACCGCCCGUCACACCAUGGGAGUUGGAAAUGCCCGAGGUCAGUGACCCAACCGAAAGGAGGGAGCUGCCGAAGGCAGGUCUGAUAACUGGGGUGAAGUCGUAACAAGGUACC